AGUGGCGACCGGGUGAGUAACACGUGACUAACCUGCCCUUGAGUGGGGGAUAACCUCGGGAAACCGGGGCUAAUACCGCAUAACAUCUUCAGGAUGAGAAGCUGGGGAUCAAAGGAGCAAUCCGCUUAUGGAGGGGGUCGCGGCUGAUUAGCUAGUUGGCGGGGUAACGGCCCACCAAGGCGAUGAUCGGUAUCCGGCCUGAGAGGGCGCACGGACACACUGGAACUGAAACACGGUCCAGACUCCUACGGGAGGCAGCAGUGGGGAAUUUUGCGCAAUGGGGGAAACCCUAACGCAGCAACGCCGCGUGGAGGAUGAAGUCCCUUGGGACGUAAACUCCUUUCGACCGGGACGAUUAUGACGGUACCGGUGGAAGAAGCCCCGGCUAACUUCGUGCCAGCAGCCGCGGUAAUACGAGGGGGGCGAGCGUUGUUCGGAAUUAUUGGGCGUAAAGGGCGCGUAGGCGGUGCGGUAAGUCACCUGUGAAACCUCUGGGCUCAACUCAGAGCCUGCAGGCGAAACUGCCGUGCUG
rnacentral:rRNA from 1 species